AACCAGGAGAUUUACAAGGCUGUGAAGGAAUUUCAUUGCUGUUUUAAACAGUAUCAACUUAUCUGCUUAAUAGAAGAUGAAAAAUCCAAGUGUGAAAAACGCGAUUGGUUUAUUUGGAGAUGUGUUUUUAAGAGGCCGGUGUGGGGGGAGGGUGUGCUGGAGAAAUCCACCUCUCAUUUCCAUUCCCCAAGAUGAAAAGGUGAUUCUGGCUAAUUUGAACAUAGUCAUUAAGCUGCUGUAUCAAAAGCACAGAGUCAAUUAAUGUCCCCCCCACCUUGCUCCACGGGCCUGCCUUGUUAUUAAUCAAGGGAUGGGGGGAAUUGCCUGGAUCCCGUUGCUGGGAGCCAAGUGCUGAUCUCAUUUGGCCUUAUGGAAGAUGCUUCCCUGCCUAGUGGCCAGGGUUAGGGUGGAUCUGGGGGAAGCAGAGCACUGACAAUGCACAGGGGGAGCUGGGGGAGCCCGGGCUGGACGGGACCACCUUGUCCUUGUCCCCUCCUCAAAUAUCUCACCAGAAAACCAAGUUAUUUCUGUCCCACUGUGCCCCCUUUGUACCAUUACUCUGUGGGGAAAUCAAGGCACAGAUGAGUGAUUUGAUCAGAAUACAGGAAAAGGCAGGUUGUGAUUAAAGCCUGUGAUGUAGGUUUUGACUCAGCCCUGCUCCAGGUGCUGCCCCAUUGCUGCCUCCUGCCAUCAGCUCUGAUGCCCCUUUAGCAUCACUUUGGGCUUUAACAAGAGAGCAGGACAAAGAUGUGGUGGAAAGGCAUCAGGGGUGAGGCUACAACCCCACUCUGCACGUUGGAGAAGCCCAAAGGUCCAUGGCCCUUGGUCACACUCUCCAAUUAAGUCAAAUUGGCUUCAAUCUGAGCAUUAAUCCAAAGGGACCUCACGCCAGGGGACAGGGGACAGGCUGGGCAGGGGGUCCCUGUUCUCUGUGCACUCUGGGCUGUGGCAUUUGGGUGCUGAGACAGGAUCUGCUCCCCUCCUUAGGUGCCCUGGGCUCUACCCUCACCUGUGCCCCCUGUCCCAAGAGCCUGACCCUGUGCAAAGUUCCCUCCAAGGUGAGGAUGAGGAUCCAUGAACCACAUUGCUCCAAACUCGGCCCCUUGCUGAGCGUUGGGACGGGGAUGGAGCGGGGCCACCCGGGGGACAGCUGGGAACAGAGGAGAACAUAAAUGCCAUGGAAUCCUGGAAACCUGGAAUCAUCAAGGUUGGAAGAGACCUUCAGGAUCAUCCAGUCCAACCAUGCUCUGAGCUUGGGGGGACACACAGAGGUGGCAGGACCCUGAGGCUCUCGGGGCCGGUGUUUCAGGAAGGGGCCCUGCCUUUGAAGAUGCUGUUCCAUGUGAGCCAGUGCUGGGAGUGUCUUGACAAGUUUUACUGCUUUCUGGGGCAUUUUCACACAGACUCAGCAAAAUGAUUGGGGGAAAAAAAAAAAAAAGAAGUGUGAGAGAAAUAAAAAAGUCGCAGCUGCUCUGGCACAGGCUCAAAAUCCCAAAGAGUUUUUGGCUGAAACGUGCCAAGGGGAAAAAUUAAUUCCAAUAAACAGAGAGGUGAACUCCUUUUUGCCCCCAGUUUGUCCUCUGUGGUGGAGUGUGGGAUCCUGCCCUGCUGAUCCCAGGAUCCAGGGCCUCUCCUGGCUGUGGGGUCCCGUGCCAGCCCCUCCACCACAGGCCACGCUGGUCCCCUGCCAGUCCAAAUGCAGCAUUCCAGCUCUGCCAGCUCCUGUGACAGCCAGUGAUUUUUUUCCCCACUAAGAAUGCAGCAGUGGGAGCCAUGUGAUGACUCCAGACUCUUGGUGGCCAUUAAUUUUCCCUAAUGGAAACCUCGAUUAACUCCUAGAAGGAAGCAGCUCUGGAUGCAUGUGAACGAGACCCAUCAGAAAUCGGGCCCUGAGGAGCUCACCAGGAGCCCCUUUGGAGCUGGAAUGAUGCUGGAAGGGCUCAGGGAUGUUGGGGAGUCAGUCCUUGCUUGGUGGGACGCCCUUGGCAUGGCUGGAGGGCAGCCCAGACCCCCCACCCCAAAAGUCCCCGAGCAGAUCCAGCCGAGCCACAGGGCCUGGGGACAGCACCGUGCCCAGGACUCCUGGCUGGGGUGGGGCUGAGCUGGGGGUGUGACCCCCAGAGCUGUGCUGGCCAGAGGCUCUGCAGAGCCCCAGACCCGAGGGACAGUGACACUGCUGGCUGGAGGGGACACCCCCGGGCUGUCCUUGCCAUGGGCAGGGCCCAGCCUGGGUGACCCUCUCCAGGGUGGCACCAGGGAGGUCCCGUGGGCUCACUUUGCUUAGGUCCCCCAUCAAAACCCAAAAUGCCUCUUCCCCCUAUCUGUGCCACUCUGGCAGGACUCCAGUGUGCAGAUGGGGGGCACAGCCCCCACUGUGGGGUUUUUGGGGGGCACAGGGCAGAGCUGCCGCCACACCAGGAGGUGUGUCUGUGACCUGCUCCACUCAGAGCUGGAAUUCUUCCCCCUACAAAGCCCAUUUCCUCCUCCCCACUCUGCCCUGAGCCCGAUGUCUCUGUGCCUGCACUUGUGCUGUGCUGUCAGAGCAGGAGCCCCUGAGGGGACACAUCUCACCCUGUAUUUGCUGACGGAGCCCGGCCGGACCUGCCCGCUCUGCAAACGCAGCCUGAGCCCGUGACUAAGCCUAGUUACUUUUAAUAAAUAUUUGGUAAUAACAAUGGAAGUUUCUUUGGCCAAGUACCUGCUGUUUUGAGCUGUCACCAGCAGGAACACCAUCAGGUGAAGGGUUUUGAUCCAAGCAGGAAGGAGAGGGACCUUUCCCCUCUCCAACUGCCUGGGCUUCGAGUGACAGCACAGACCUCACCUGCCCUUGCUCCUGCUGCCUUUAGCAACCCCUGACUGAGCUCUUUUUCCAUGCCUGGGUCAAGGUGUCCCUUCUGGCAGUGAAAUCACCCCAAAGGUGACAAACUCCCACAGAAGGAGGACUUCCCCCCAUUCCCUUUUUUAAGGUCCAUGGCUCAGUUUUGCAGAGCCACCCAACACCAGCACCAGUUGGUUUCCUCAGGGCCUUUGCAGGCUCAGCAGCCCUCAAACCCAGCCCAACUACUUCCCUGCCCAGAGAAGGAGACAGCAAAUUAUCCCUGGUUUCCCAGCACAGGGUUUUUCUCCUGCUUUCCCCUGGCACAAUGCUCAUGGUGGGGCUCAGCCCACCCUGGAUCCCCUUUGCAAGGCCAUCACUCCCUUGCUGGGGGACGGGGGGCUUGCACAGCAUCCAGGUUCCACAUGGAGCUGAUCCCUGGCUUGGAUGGGAACACACCUGCUCCAAGUGCUGCUGCUGCCUUUCCAGGGCUGCUCAUCCCCAGGGAUUAGCUCUCAACCCCACAGACCCCCCAGGCGAUGAUUUAUUCCCCACAGCUCAUCAUUUAUUCCCCUCAGCAGGUGGGGCCAGCACUGCCCAGCUCAUUUUCUCAUCCUGGCAGCCGAGUGGUUUCUGUUUGCCCUCCCUAAUCCAGGAAGGUUCUCCAGGUACCAGGAUACAUUACCAGAGGAACCUCUGCCAGUGGAUGUGCCCUGGUUCCUCCUUCCCACUGUGAGCCUUGGCUCUGCUCCGGGCUUUGCUGCUGCUGCCCAGCCCUGCCCAGCCCGAGUGGCAGAGCCACCUGUGUCCCCUGGGAGCAGCCUGGGGACAGUGCAGUGACACUGUGGGGUUGGGAGCGUCCCUGGGAUAGGGAAAACCUCGUUCUGUGAUCCCUGCUUGUCCCAAAGUCAGUUGGAAGAAGGCAAUUUCAGGCACUAUAUCCAGGUCUAUAUCCACAUUCCCAGGCUGCCUGAGCUCAGGAGUUUUGGGAGAGGGUGGCUGGGCUGUGGGGUGUGCACUAGUGAUGAUCAGCUCAGAUUUUACCCCUAAACCUUUCCCUACCUGUCCACUUCUGAUCACCUCAUCUAAACCUGAUCAUUCUCUGCCCUUUAGAGCACCUCACCUCAAAUUUACUCUCAAAACCUUCCCUACCUGUGCACCACUGAUUACCUUGUUUUUACCUCAAACUAUUUAUUUUCUGCCCUAUAGACUGCCUCAAGUUUACUCCCAGUAUUUUCCCUUCCUGAUUGCCUCAGUUUACCUACAAACCUUCCUUCUGUUCACUGCAGAUCCCCUCAGGCAGGCAGUGAGCUGGGCAGGGCUGCUGCAAAUGCCUUCCCCAACCUCCCUGGCUCUGCCAAAACCCCAAACUGCACAUUUUUAUAGUCUCAGGGUCCCCAGGGUUUGGGCACACGUGGAAUUCAGCACUGCAGCCACUCUGCACCAACAGGGCAGUGAGUGUCCCUCCCCAGAGCAUCACCCGUGGCUCUGCAGUGCCACCCGGGCUGUCCCUGGAGGGGGCAGCUGCCAUCCCGGCUCAGGGAUUUUCUUGCCAUUGCUUGCCCUGGCUCAUGACCCCUCUGGCUGAGCCACCUGGGACUGCCCAGGAGGAGCAGGAGAGGCUGCAGGGAAUCUGGGAGCACCAAUGUGGCGCUGCCAGUGUGACCAGAACUGGCCAAGGGCUGGGCUGUGCUGGGCACCCCCAUGGGCAGCGUGGCCAUCCUGGUGAGGACGGGCAGGAGAAGAGGUGAUGAGAAGUGCUGGCACAGUGUUUUUCUGCCAGCUGCUGCCUGUCUCACCUGCUCUCAGGUGUCUCAGUGUGACACCUCCUCCCAGCAGAGGCAGCGGGGGUGCUGGACGGGUCCAAGGUCGCUCCUCCACCCCCGAACACAGGAGCUGUGCCCGGUGGGAUCCCAGAGCUCCCACCAUCGGAGAGCCGGGGGCGGCCGCUCCGCUGCCUCCCCGGGAGGAAAUUGCUCCUGAUGAAAUUCAGCCCACAUUCCCUUCUCAUUCCCUUCCCAUUCCCUCCCUCUCACCGCAUCGUGCCAAACGCGCUCCCCGCCCCCGCCUCCCCCGCGCUCCUCCCGCCUGCCUUGAUCUGAGAGAGGCAUCGAAUCCCUCCCAGCAGCUCGUUUUCAAACAGCAUUAGAGCUGCUUUGCAGGCGAUUUGGAUGCCAGGCACUGCAAACACACCAUUUGUACCCGCUAGACGGAAACUGUGCCCGUGUCCCCGUGCCCGCGUCUGUCUCCACACCUAACGCAGACAGAGCAGGUUCUGCUCUUCAUUCAGCAGCUCAAGCCUUGGCUGUGUCUGCUCCCGGCCCUGGGAGCCGCUGGGUCCCGCUCAGAGGUGGGGCCGUCGCAGACGAGUCGUGUCCCCUUGUCCCCGUCCCCUUGUCCCCGUCAGUCUGAACUGAGCCACAGAGUCGGGGUGUGCUGAGCUGGGAGGGACCCACGAGGACCAUCCAGUCCAGCUCUUAACCCUGCCCAGGACCAUCCCCAAGAGUCACACCCUGUGCCUGAGAGCAUUGUCCAAAUACUCCCUGAGCUCUGUGCCCACUGCCCUGGGGAGCCUGGUCAGUGCCCAGCCACCCUCUGGGGGAAGAACCUUGUCCUGAGAUCCAACCUAAAUCUGCCCUGACACAACUUCAGGCUGUUCCCUGGGUCACCACAGAGAAGAGAUCAGUGUCUGCCCCUCUUCUUCCCGUGGCAGAGGGGAGCACAUAGCAAUAAAAUCCCCAAAUUCACUCCCGUCCCCGCUGUGGGAUGGCCCUCACCUGGUUCUCACACAGGAAUGUCACAGGUAGGGGCAGGAGGGAGCUCAUGGCCCGGGUUGGGAACCAUGGACACGUCCCCCUCACCCUCUUCUAUUGUCUCACUCCCAUUUCUGAUCCACUGGUCACUCCAGUCUUGGGGGAAGAGCUGCCAGUUGGUGUGACUUGUGUGACACGUCCCCAGUCACCACCAGGCUUGUCCCAUGUUUGCAAGGAAUGAACUCAAAGCACCAACAGGUGAAGGAGACUCCCACAUUCCAUCUGGGGCUCAGUGACCUCCUCCCUUCCAGCAGGAGCUGCCCAGCCCCUCUCCUGUGUCCAGGUGUAGCUGGGAGGUGACAGUGGUGACACCACAGUUCCCUGUCCCUUUGCUUACUGGAGCCUCUCAAGGUUUUCUUGAGGUUUUCUCCCAGUUUUCUCCAGGUUCUCUCCCCUCUGCUGUGCCCUCUCUCUGCUCACUGGGCUGCCCAGAGGGAUGGUCCUUCCCAGCCUCUUUCCUGGUUCAGGUCAUGCUGAGGUGAGGUGCCAAUCCCCAAAGUUCUCCACUUUCCCUGUCCUCACAUGUACCACAUCACAAUAUGAACUCAAACAGUGAGGGAAGAAUCUCCCCAUUCCCCAGCUCUUCCUGCUCUGCCAAGUCCAGCACAGGGAGUCCUGGUUUUUUUUGGCUGCCUACUCUCCCUCCACAUCCUCAGGGUGGGAUGGGAGCUGUUGUGUUAAAGACAAGAUAAAUUAUGCUGGUUUGCAGUGAUGGCAGAGCUGAUUCAUAAACCAGGUGGGUCUACAAGGUCUAAUUUGGGAGGGCUGAUGGCUGAUGAAUCCUUUGGUAACCUUGGGAAAGUAACUUUUCCUUGAGGAGCACAUCGUUACCUCCCAGCCUAAUGCCAUUUCCCUGCCAUGCCAGUGCUCAGGCCCUGCAGGGCAGAGAGGCUCUCAUGGCUGGGAAAUAGGUUUUAAAAAGGGAAUGUUUUCAUAGAAAACACCUUAUAAUUUGCCAGGAGGGUCAUCACUGAUGAUUUUAGAGGUCUUUUCCAACCUUAAUGACUCUAUGGUCUCUAUCCAUGUGUUGGUCUCCAGAGCCUUGGCCAACAGCAGUUUGAAGAUAGUCUUUCUCCCAAGAAAUCCAGCAGUUUCCAGCUGUUCAGAGCCUCUUCUGACCCUCACAUGAAGCUCCACAGUGCUGGACAUGGUUUGCCUGCCAGAAAAACCCUCAUUCCUUCUGCCUGUCGUGGGGACCACACGUGGGCAUCAGACUGCUCUGGCUGCCCUGAUGCUGAACGGGGUUGGAUGUGGCUCCAGGGCAUGAGGGAACUUCUCCAGCUUCAUCCUGUGGGAAUUGGUACCAUGACUCAGGCUGCCUGGAGCCAGGCCCCUCUGGCAGCCUCGGGAGGCUGGAGGAGACUGGAGGAGACACGUUCCCCUCGGGCUGUUGAUAGCUCAGCUCCGGGCUCUGUGCAGUCACAGCUGUUCUCACGCACCCAGUGCGGCUCCCGGGGGUGUGGGGUGGGGGACAGGCACGGAACGGGGCUGCGGGAGCGUUUUGGGGAGCGCUGGAGGUGACAACAGGCACUGCGCUGGCACCCGGCCAGCGUUAUUAGUGUCUCACUUUCACAGGCAACAAACCCGCCCACGUCCUCCACGGAAGGGAAAACUGUUUGGAAACAAGAGCUGUACCUGGCACAGGGACGCAGAGACACCUCCCUGCCCGAGGGCACCUCCCCACGCAGCUCCCCGGGCUGUGGCGUUGGCAGGAGAGAGGCAGCUGUGCCCGGGGGUCCCAGUCCGCUGUGACCGUCCCCACCUCCCGGUCCCCCCCCCUCUGCUCACAGCAGCUCCUCCCAGCGCUGAAUAUGCGAGAGGGGCCGAAGAUCGCUGCUCCCCGCCUGGCACCGUGAAUUAUUCAUCCAGCCGGAGGCACGUUGGAUUGGACAAAUCUCACCAAGACUCCAUCCAGUAAAUCCUCUGCACCUCCUGGAAGCCUCCAAACAUAUCUCAGUGAGAAGAAGAGAGUGGGAUGAAGCAGGAGCUGAGGUGCAUUACAGCCAAAGGAAGCAUCACCUCACUGCUCUCCACAUCUCACAAAAACUACCGAAACUUUAUUAAACUAUAGGAGUAACAACACUCAGUCACAGCACUGCUGCCAUUAAUCCUUGGUAAUUGUUUCUAUAAUUAAAAGCCCCACUGUGUCCUGUCUC